rnacentral:rRNA from 1 species
AACGUAGGUGGCAAGCGUUAUCCGGAUUUACUGGGCGUAAAGGGUGUGCAGGCGGGGUUGCAAGUGGUGUUUGAAAUCUCCCGGCUUAACCGGGAGGGGUUAUGCCAGACUGCAAUUCUAGAGGACGAGAGAGGGGGGUGGAAUUCCGGGUGUAGUGGUGAAAUGCGUAGAGAUCCGGAGGAACCCCAGAGGCGAAGGCGGCCCCCUGGCUCGUACCUGACGCUCAGCCACGAAAGCAUGGGGAGCGAACAGG